rnacentral:misc_RNA from 1 species
GAUGAAGAACGCAGCGAAAUGCGAUAAGUAAUGUGAAUUGCAGAAUUCAGUGAAUCAUCGAAUCUUUGAACGCACAUUGCGCCCCUUGGUAUUCCGAGGGGCAUGCCUGUUCGAGCGUCAUUAUAACCCCUCAAGCUCAGCUUGGUGUUGGGGCCUGCUGCACUGGCAGCCCUUAAAAUCAGUGGCGGCGCCAUCUGGCUCUAAGCGUAGUAAUUCUUCUCGCUAUGGAGUCCUGGUGGAUGCUUGCCAACAACCCCCAAUUUUUCUAUGGUUGACCUCGGAUCAGGUAGGGAUACCCGCUGAACUUAAGCAUAUCAAUAAGCGGAGGA